AUUGAACGCUGGCGGCAGGCCUAACACAUGCAAGUCGAGCGGAUGAAGGGAGCUUGCUCCUGGAUUCAGCGGCGGACGGGUGAGUAAUGCCUAGGAAUCUGCCUGGUAGUGGGGGAUAACGUCCGGAAACGGGCGCUAAUACCGCAUACGUCCUGAGGGAGAAAGUGGGGGAUCUUCGGACCUCACGCUAUCAGAUGAGCCUAGGUCGGAUUAGCUAGUUGGUGGGGUAAAGGCCUACCAAGGCGACGAUCCGUAACUGGUCUGAGAGGAUGAUCAGUCACACUGGAACUGAGACACGGUCCAGACGCCUACGGGAGGCAGCAGUGGGGAAUAUUGGACAAUGGGCGAAAGCCUGAUCAAGCCAUGCCGCGUGUGUGAAGAAGGUCUUCGGAUUGUAAAGAACUUUAAGUGGGGAGGAAGGGCAGUAAGUUAAUACCUUGCUGUUUUGACGUUACCAACAGAAUAAGCACCGGCUAACUUCGUG
rnacentral:rRNA from 1 species